rnacentral:tRNA from 1 species
GGGUGGUUAGCUCAGUUGGAAGAGCGCAUGCUUGACGUGCAUGAGGUCGCAGGUUCGAGUCCUGCACCACCCACCA